CCACUCGUCGUCCAAUGGUGAAGACGCCCGUCUGAUACGCGGGAAACGGAAGUUCGAUUCUUCCCGAGUGGA
rnacentral:tRNA from 1 species